UCCCAUGGUGAGUUCUGAAGGUGCAGGGUU
rnacentral:piRNA from 1 species